GUCAUCUCUCCUAGGCUUUGCACAGCUUGAGGUGUAUGCCGGGAAGAGCAUUCGAAUGCGAGGCGGUUGGUGCGGUUGCUCUUUGUUUCAUCGAUUUAAACAGAUUUUACGCUCCGCGCUUUGUUGACGUGCGUGGUCUAAUCGUGUUGUGUACGUGAGUGGCGUGUAACUAGUGAUACAGCACGCAGAGACAGUCAUUAACGUGCGCGAUCCGCCGCAAAUCUGCCACGAGGCAUUGCAACGGGCACGUUCAGUGGGCUGCGCGGCCGUUGCGAUUAGCUGCAUUGCUGAUUCUUCGCUUGCCUGAGACUGGCAAUUGUCGAGCGGGUUGCGUCCGUUGCUACGUUGCCCGAAGACAGUAGUAAAUGUGAUUUGCAGAUAGCACGAAUGCCAGCAAUCGUGCAACGUAGGAGUUCGAAGGGGGACAUGGUCAGUGUGGUUGGGUGCAAGCAACGUGUCAUUGUGGUUAGAAAAAAUGAAUCAGUAUACAUGUGAUUUAACUGUCAAAGCCGGAAUGUUUAAAACAUAUAUCCCGCCCAAGGCAUGCUGGGAUGAUCUCCUAUCAGGCAGCUUGGAAACUUCCAGA